AUGCCUAGUCUGAGGAGUACAGAGAGGAAACUUCAGAGAGACCCCGAGAAAGCUGCUAUCUACUCUGGUGAGAUUAAUAAGCUCAUUAAGGCAGGCUAUGUUUCUAAGCUUCAACCCGAAGAAGUUAACAAAUCAGAGGAGGCCUGGUACAUUCCCCAUCACCUGGUGUGUCACAAUGAUAAACCAAGAUUGGUCUUCAAUUGCUCAUUCAGAUAUCAAGGUCUGUCUCUGAAUGAUCAGCUUCUUCCAGGGCCUGCACUUGGCCCAUCAUUGUUGGGCGUUCUCUUGAGAUUCCGUCAGCACCAUGUGGCUGUAAGUGCAGAUAUCCGUGGAAUGUUCCAUCAGAUCCGCUUGCUGCCUGAGGACAGACCUCUUCUCCGCUUCAUCUGGCGAGAUCUGCACUAUCAGAACAGUCCAGAGGUCUAUGAAUGGGAAGUCUUGCCGUUUGGUACAACCAGCAGCCCAUGUUGUGCCAUUUUUGCUGUGCAACAACAUGCUCGCAAUAACCAAGAGAGUUACCCAGGUGCUUUACAAGUAGUGCAGCGGAGUUUUUAUGUGGACAACUAUCUGGCAAGCUUUCCAACCAUAUCUGAGGCCAAACUAACAGUUGAUCAACUGCGCAGUCUGCUAGCUAUGGGUGGGUUUGACCUCAGACAAUGGGCUAGCAACCAGCCAUCAGUGAUCUCUCACCUACCUACAGAUGCAAGGUCUUCAGCUGCAGAACAAUGGCUUGAACAGAACAGGACUGAUCCAAUGGAGCCAACUUUGGGUCUCAGGUGGAAUUGUGCUGCUGAUACACUAGGAUACCAAUAUCGUCCCAUCGAACAUGCCACACUAACAAUGAGAACAGCCUAUCAAGUGUUAGCAACACAGUAUGACCCAUUGGGGUUUAUUGUGCCUUUCACCACACGGGCAAAAGUGCUCAUUCAACAACUAUGGUCCAAAAAAAGAGAUUGGGAUGACCCGAAUCUGCCACAAGAUCUUUAUGCUGCCUGGGACACAUGGGAAAGUGAGUUAAAGUAUCUCAGCACCAUAACAAUUCCUCGUUGUUACUCAUCAGUUCCCAAUGAUGUACGACGAAAAUACGACCUCCAUGUGUUUUGCGACGCAUCAGAAAGAGCAUAUGGGGCUGUGGCUUACUUGGUAGAGUACACACAAGAUGCCAUUCAUACCACUUUCGUUAUGGCUAGAUCACGAGUUGCUCCCAGGAGGCAACAGUCCAUGCCUCGCUUGGAGCUCUGCGCAGCACUAGCAGGAGCCCAGUUAGCAAAGCUUCUGAAAGAUGAGAUCACUCUCUCAAUUCAGCAGACAAUUUUGUGGACAGAUUCUACAACUGUGCUGGAGUGGCUUCAGUCCGACUCUUGUAGGUUUAAAGUCUUUGUUGGAACACGAGUCUCAGAAAUCCAGGAGUUGACAGAACACAGUACUUGGCGGUACGUGAACACACAGCAAAACCCAGCGGAUGAUAUCACCAGAGGUAAACCUCUUUCAAGUUUUACUGUGCCUGGACUCUGGAGUCAGGGACCGUCGUUUCUAAAACUGAGUUCUGAGCACUGGCCAAAGAGACCUGAACCGGCAAGGUCAGAAGAGUUACCUGAACUGAAAGGUGCCACUAUCUGCGGCCUAACCAUUGUGGAACCAGAUCAUACCCUUCCUGAUGCCAGUCAGUUUAGCACAUGGAAAGAGUUAGUGGAAGCAAUGCGUCAGGUAUGGCAACAAGUGACAGAUGAUUCAGCAAACACUCAGCUUAUUGAUCCUCGUGAAGCAGAGUUGAUCCUACUAAGGAAGUGUCAGGCUCAGAGCUUCCCAGAGGAGACAAAAGCCCUCAAAGCACACAAACCUAUACCAAACCACAGCCGACUAAUAUGUCUUGCUCCAGAGUGGGAUCCAGUAACUAAUGUAAUCAGAGUUGGAGGACGUUUACGGAGACUGGAAAGCCCAAAUGUUGAACAGAUUCACCCUAUUGUGCUAGAUUCACGGCAUCCAGCAUCAAAGCUUCUCAUUAAAGAUUUUGACGAACGCUUAUUGCACCCAGGUGCAGAAAGAGUGUAUGCAGAACUACGGAGACAAUACUGGAUCUUGAGAGGGCGGCAAGCUGUUAGACACCACCAGCUUAAUUGUUCAUCCUGUCAAAGGUGGAGAUCUCAGCCUAAGGUACCACAAAUGGCAGACCUGCCGCCAGAGCGGCUCAGACUUCUCUGUCCACCGUUCUAUUCUACUGGAGUAGACUGCUUCGGUCCUUAUCAUGUUAAAAUAGGCAGAAGGGUUGAGAAACGUUGGGGCGUCAUUUUCAAAUGCCUCACCACUAGAGCUGUUCACAUAGAGCUUCUCAACUCCUUGGAUGUGGAUGCCUUCCUGCUGGCUCUUCGAAGAUUCAUAGCCAGACGUGGCAGACCAAAGGAGAUCAGGUCAGAUUGUGGUACAAACUUUCGUGGUGCCGAUCGAGAACUGCGUGAAGCCUUUACUGCUAUGGAAUCCCAAUUAAAAGAGCAGCUAGCUGAUUAUCAGAUCUCCUUCAAAUUCAAUCCGCCUAAUGCUCCUCAUUUUGGUGGUGUUUGGGAGCGAGAGGUCCGCUCCAUCAAAGCUGCUCUACAGGUCGCAGUUGGAAGUCAGUCUGUCUCAGAAGAUGUCCUGUCUACAGUAUUAGUAGAGGUAGAGGGCAUUUUAAAUGCAAAGCCCCUUGGAUACGUCUCCACAGAUGUUGCAGAUCUAGACGCCAUUACACCAAACAUUCUCCUCAUGGGGCGGCGGGAUGCAUCACUUCCACAGGUAGCAUAUGCUUCAGGAGAAAUGGGGCGGCGCAGAUGGCGCCAUUGUCAAAAUCUUGUGGACCAGUUUUGGACUCAAUUUACAAGGAAUUACUUACCCACACUACAGACACGCCAGACGUGGCACAGAACAUCAGACUCUCUGUCAGUGGGAUCAGUGGUUUUGAUAAUUGAUCCACAACUUCCCAGGGCUCAGUGGCCCAUUGGUAAAGUUACCAAGACUGUGGUCAGCAAUGAUGGAUGUGUGAGAACAGCAGACGUCAGUGUUCAAGGCAAAGUGUAUACCAGGCCAGUAGCUCGCCUCAUUAGAUUGCCAGCCUUUGAGGAUGAAACCAAAGACUCCUAA
ensembl:lncRNA